GGCUAAGAGGAGACUCUACCUUGGGCCCGCCGGUGUAAUAAACUGCACUCCACUAUCUGCAUUGUCCUUCUGUGAGUUUGUUUCCCAGAACGCGUGGCUACAACAUUUGGUGCAUUGGCUGGGAAACUCCUCACUUUGAAGAGACAGGUCUCAUUUGAGGCCACCCCUAGGCUUUGUGGCUUGAAUCUCCUAGAGGGGAGAAGGCGCCUUGCCCCUCUGGAAGAAUUCAGCCUUUCAACACCCGGUUUCUUCACUUUGGCAGCCCACCAAGGCAGAAUGGACUUUGAAAGUUAAGGGAGAAACAGUCUUGGACCAUGUGGUGUUCUGGUUCGGCCAUGCUGACUGGCAGGUGAAGACACGCCGAUUCCCCUUCUCCCUCUGGGAUCUGGAGUGCUCCACCAGGACCGGAGGCCGCCUUAAGGCCAGAUCCAGGGCCAGGUGAAGUUCCUGCAGCAGCCGCUGCUCUUCCGCCAGCUCUCCCGGAGUUCGUAGAGCCGCUGUUUUGGCAGGCUCCCGUCCUGGUGACAGAAGCCUCUGGCCAACAUUUUCAGGAUCCGGGUCCAGCCGAACCCCCCAAGCUAUACCGGCUUCUCCCGAUCUCAAGGAUGCCUUCUUCUGCGUACGCUGCACCCCAGUGUCACAGCCCAUCUUUGCCUUUGAAUGGGAAGAUCCAGUCAGGAGCACCAAACAACAGCUCAUCUGGACUCCCCCACAAGGGUUUAAGAACUCCCCAGCCAUCUUUGGGGAAGCCUUGGCUUCUGACCUGGACUCAUUUCAUCCGGAAGGGUAUGGAUGUUGGCUCCUACAAUGCGGGUAUGAGACCUGCUGCUGGCUGCUGAGAAAAAUGCUGGAAAGGGACAAAAGCACUGCUCCAGCUGCUGAUGGAAGCAGGUUACCAGGUGUCGAAGAAGGCGCAGAUCUGCAAGGAGGAGGUAAGGUAUCUGGGUUUUGUUUUAAAGAAGGGCUCAAGGUUCCAGACCCUAACUGGGUCCUAUAUACUGAUGGCACUAGCCUGAUGAAACAAGGACAAUGGCUGUCAGGUUAGCCAAAGCGGAAAGGGCCAUCAAGACUGAAAAGAGAUGAUGGGAAGUGCCAAGUGGCAAAUUACUGGUACUGACAAACGCACCAAGCGACCCACCUAGGCCAUGCUGCCUGCUCACAGGUUAAUGCUGCCUCUCAGGUAUUCAGACAAAAACCUCCGGGUAUUCAGCUGAAAGGUACGCUGCCCUUUAAACACCUGGGAGUGGACUUCACUGAAA